rnacentral:rRNA from 1 species
GACGAACGCUGGCGGCGUGCUUAACACAUGCGAGUCGAACGGAAAGGCCCUGCUUUUGUGGGGUGCUCGAGUGGCGAACGGGUGAGUAACACGUGAGUAACCUGCCCUUGACUUUGGGAUAACUUCAGGAAACUGGGGCUAAUACCGGAUAGGAGCUCCUGCUGCAUGGUGGGGGUUGGAAAGUUUCGGCGGUUGGGGAUGGACUCGCGGCUUAUCAGCUUGUUGGUGGGGUAGUGGCUUACCAAGGCUUUGACGGGUAGCCGGCCUGAGAGGGUGACCGGCCACAUUGGGCCUGAGAUACGGCCCAGACUCCUACGGGCGGCAGCAGUGGGGAGUAUGGCAGAAUGGGCGGAAGCCUGAUGCAGCAACGCCGCGUGCGGGAUGCCGGCCUUCGGGUUGUAAACCGCUUUCGCCGGUGACGAAGCGUGAGUGACGGUAAUGGGUAAAGAAGCACCGGCUAACUACGUG